UGGCAGCACACUAAGGUUAGUGUUCUGUUUGUUUGACAUGAAAACAUUUUUCGAAAAAGUUUUUCAGCCUUUUCCAGUGUUAGUUUGAUGGAAAAUAAUUUCCUAAAUGUAAAAUGAAUUACAAAACACGGGAAAUGAGUCCUUUCAUGUAGGUAAGACAUUUUCAGUAAAAGAAGCCAAGAACUCUCAACACCCCGAUCUUCCCUUCCCCUUCCCCUUCCUCUUGAAGAAGUUGAUGACGUCGAAGAGGAAGAGUAUGAAGAUGAGGAAGAACAGUUAUUGGACGACGAGGAUUACGACCUCGACGAAGACGUAGGGAGAGGCCGUGGCGGUUCGAGUAAGAAGCGUGGGAGAUCUGAUUUCAUCGACGACUUGGCGGAGGAGGAUGAUGAGGAAGAUGAAGAAGAUGAUGAUGAGGUUUAUGGCGGUGGUGGUGGUGGUGGUGGUGGUCAAGGUGGGAAACGACACAAGGCUCCGCGUGAUGGCUCUCAGUUUUUUGAUCUUGAAGCACAGGUUGAUAGCGACGAGGAAGAGGAAGAGGAUGAAGGGGAAGACGGCUUCAUAGUUGACAGUGGAGCUGAUAUGCCUGAUGAAGAUGUUGGUAGAAGUAUGCGUCGCCUAUUACCUCUUCGGGAGGAUGAACAAGAAGAUGUUGAAGCUCUUGAAAGAAGCAUUCAAGCUAGGCCACAUCUGACUGGUUGAAGUUGAAUUUUCUUUAAUUUACUAUCACAUUUUGUUUACUUCGAUGAGCUGGUUUGCAAUGUUUGGACUUUAUUGGCCAGGGUUUUUGUUUCUCAAAGGCAACUAGGAUGCUUUAGUAAAAGAAAUUGUUGGCUUUAUUUCACAAGUUUUGUAAUAAAUUUGAUGGUGUAUCAUUUUUUGGGACUUGAAUUUGGUAACUGUUACUACAUUAGGGCUUGAAUUUA